rnacentral:rRNA from 1 species
GAUGAUUUUAUAUCUUGANCUGCGAACGGCUCAUUAAAUCAGUUAUAAUCUACUUGAUUGUAAAAUCUACAUGGAUAACUGUAGUAAUUCUAGAGCUAAUACAUGCAAAAAAUCCUGACUGUUAUAGAAAGGAUGUAUUUAUUAGGUACAAAAUCAAUGCUGGCACUUGUGUCAGGUUUAUUGAUGAUUCAUAAUAACUAAACGAAGCGCACGACCUUGCGUUGGCGCUGAUACAAACGAGUUUCUGCCCUAUCAACUUUCGAUGGUAGUAUAGAGGACUACCAUGGUUUCAACGGGUAACGGGGAAUGGGCCGGUGNGGNGNGANGGAGAANAUUAANUAGUUUGGNUNCGAGGNCAGGGUCGCNGCGAUCGNACGAGUGGGAANUNCCGNCCAGCU